UAUGUGAUCGUCUCUCGCAUAUCAAUAAGCGGAGGAAAAGAAACUAACAAGGAUUCCCCUAGUAACGGCGAGUGAAGCGGGAAGAGCUCAAAUUUGAAAUCUUAAAGGGUUUCCCUUUACGAAUUGUAGUUUAAAGAAGUGUUUUCUGUUGAGGUUUUGGUAAAAGUUCUUUGGAAUAGGACAUCAUAGAGGGUGAGAAUCCCGUAUUUGACCUUUACUUUCAACUUUGUGAUACACUUUCAAAGAGUCGGAUUGUUUGGGAAUGCAGUCCAAAAUGGGUGGUAAAUUUCAUCUAAAGCUAAAUAUUGGCGAGAGACCGAUAGCGAACAAGUACCGUGAGGGAAAGAUGAAAAGAACUUUGAAAAGAGAGUUAAACAGUACGUGAAAUUGUCAAAAGGGAAGCGUUUGACACCAGUGUUGUUUUUCUGAAAAUCAAUUAAAGAACUGUUUAUGCUAAGUUGUUUAGACUUUAUCAGCUAUCUGCUUAGUUUUGAGCUUUUCUUUAAUGCACUUUUCAGUUAACAAGUCAACAUCAAUUUCUUUUGCUGUAAAAAAGCUUGAGGAAGGUGGCUUGAGAUUCGUCUUAAGUGUUUAUAGCCUCUUGCCUAUGCAGUCGGAGAGAUUGAGGUCUGCAGCGUAGAUCCUUCGGGGCUAAAUGCAUUUGUGCUAAGUUAUAGCAUUUUAUAGACAACUUGUUGACUAUGAUUUGUCUUGUAGCUUACUCGCUUAUGUUAUUUUACCUACGCUUAGGAUGUUGAGUAGCGACAUACGCAC
rnacentral:rRNA from 1 species